ACCCCUCAAUCGAGUCCUUCUUGGGGUUCAGGAAGCUUAGGAUUCCCUGAAUUCCCACCACCCAGCCCAAAACCGAAACUCAAACUAACCCCCUCCAUCCGGCCCCUUCCUUCGUCUAGCUUCCCGGGCAAAAGUGUUGAUCUCCCCUCCCCCCCACCUAGCUCAGGUUACAGGCUCAGGUAUUGUCCAU